CCUACGGGUGGCUGCAGUGGGGAAUAUUGCACAAUGGGCGCAAGCCUGAUGCAGCCAUGCCGCGUGUGUGAAGAAGGCCUUCGGGUUGUAAAGCACUUUCAGCGGGGAGGAAGGCGUUAAGGUUAAUAACCUUGUCGAUUGACGUUACCCGCAGAAGAAGCACCGGCUAACUCCGUGCCAGCAGCCGCGGUAGUACGGAGGGUGCAAGCGUUAAUCGGAAUUACUGGGCGUAAAGCGCACGCAGGCGGUCUGUCAAGUCGGAUGUGAAAUCCCCGGGCUCAACCUGGGAACUGCAUUCGAAACUGGCAGGCGAGAGGCUUGUAGAGGGGGGUAGAAUUCCAGGUGUAGCGGUGAAAUGCGUAGAGAUCUGGAGGAAUACCGGUGGCGAAGGCGGCCCCCUGGACAAAGACUGACUCUCAGGUGCGAAAGCGUGGGGAGCAAACAGGAUUAGAUACCCGAGUAGUC
rnacentral:rRNA from 1 species